rnacentral:rRNA from 1 species
GACGAACGCUGGCGGCGUGCUUAACACAUGCAAGUCGAACGGAAAGGCCCCUUUGGGGGUACUCGAGUGGCGAACGGGUGAGUAACACGUGAGUAACCUGCCCUUGACUUCGGGAUAACUUCAGGAAACUGGGGCUAAUACCGGAUAGGAAUCCUUGCUGCAUGGUGGGGGUUGGAAAGCUUCGGCGGUUUUGGAUGGACUCGCGGCUUAUCAGCUUGUUGGUGGGGUAGUGGCUUACCAAGGCUUUGACGGGUAGCCGGCCUGAGAGGGCGACCGGCCACAUUGGGACUGAGAUACGGCCCAGACUCCUACGGGAGGCAGCAGUGGGGAAUAUUGCACAAUGGGCGGCAGCCUGAUGCAGCAACGCCGCGGGCGGGAUGACGGCCUUCGGGUUGUAAACCGCUUUCAGCAGGGGCGAAGCUUGUGGUGACGGUACCUGCAGAAGAAGCACCGGCUAACUACGUG